rnacentral:rRNA from 1 species
UGAAAAAUGACGAUUGUGGAACUAGGCGUGCGACAAGUAGGGCGGGACACGUGAAAUCCUGUCUGAAGAUGGGGGGACCAUCCUCCAAGGCUAAAUACUCGUAAUCGACCGAUAGCGAACUAGUACCGUGAGGGAAAGGCGAAAAGAACCCCGGGAGGGGAGUGAAAUAGAUCCUGAAAACCGCAUGCAUACAAACAGUCGGAGCCCGCAAGGGUGACGGCGUACCUUUUGUAUAAUGGGUCAGCGACUUACAUUCAGUGGCAAGGUUAACCGAAUAGGGAAGCCGUAGAGAAAUCGAGUCCGAAUAGGGCGAUCAGUCGCUGGGUGUAGACCCGAAACCAAGUGAUCUAUCCAUGGCCAGGAUGAAGGUAGGGUAACACCUGCUGGAGGUCCGAACCGACUAGUGUUGCAAAACUAGCGGAUGAGCUGUGGAUAGGGGUGAAAGGCUAAACAAACUUGGAAAUAGCUGGUUCUCUCCGAAAACUAUUUAGGUAGUGCCUCGUGUAUUACCGUCGGGGGUAGAGCACUGUUAUGGCUAGGGGG